UUGUUUUUUCUUCCAUGAAAAAAAAUGAAAAGAAAUGAAAAGAGAUUGCCUACUGAAAACAUCUGCUAUGUCUCCAUAAUUGAAGAUAAGGGUAAUAGAAGUGUCUUAAGUUCUUUCCCUUUCUAAGCAUCUGUAGUCACAAAGUACUUCUAUGUCUCCAUCUUAUGUUAGAGUUCAGCAAACAUCUGCUUUUUCUAUCUAUUUGGCAGGAUUGUGUUGGUGCGAUUGAUGGAGCAUAUAUAGAAGGGGAGGUUCCAAGAGAGGUGCAACAGGCGUAUCGUAAUCGCAAAGGAAGAACAUCACAAAAUGUCUUAUGUGCUUGUGAUUUUGAUAUGCGAUUUACCUUCUUUGCAGCCGGCUGGGAGGGCACGACACACAAUAAUAAAGUGCUUGAGAAUGCAAUUCUUGAUCUAGCGGCACAAUUCUCAUUUCCUCCACAUGAUAAAUAUUAUGUUGUUGAUGCUGGUCUUCGAAACACGAAAGGGUUUUAGCCUCCAUACAAAGGACUGCGCUAUCAUUUACAGGAUUACAGAGGGAGCGAAAGAGAGCCUCAGAACGCUAAAGAGUUAUUUAACUUUAGGCACUAGUCUGUGCGCAAUGUGAUUGAACAUACUUUUGGAGCUUGGAAAGUAGAUUCAGAAUACUGACACAAGACAUGAACCAUUAUGACAUUGAUACACAGGUGACCAUUGCCAUAGCUUGUGCAGUGUUACAAAAGUUUUUGCAAGAAUACCAAAGGAGUAAUGAAAUUUUUACGGAAUAUGAACAUGAUGACACAGUUGCUAAUGAUAUUGACCAACAGCCGGCUCAAAGUAACAAUGUUGGUUCAUCUUCUAGGUCAUCUGAUCUAUAAAUGCAUGCUCGGCGUGAAGAGAUUGUUCCUACCAUGUGGGAGGAUUAUAUUAAAGAGAAGUUACAUUACUAUUCAUGUUAAAUUUUUCUUUUAUUAUUGAAUUAAAAUUUGAUCAAUGGAUGUUGUAUUUUUUAGAAAGGACUUCUAGUAGCGUAUUAAUUUUGUUAUGAAUUAUGGCUUGUUCAUUUCCUAA